AAAUAAAAAUUUUUGUUUUUUCUAAAAAUUCUAGCGUUAACUUCAAAAUUUCUUGUUGUAUCAAUCUUGGUCGUAUUGGACACUAGGACACUUGGACAUUAAAAUGUAGCAUCCAAAUAAUUAUAACAAUUAAGUUUGUUAUAUAUAUUAUAUUUCUGUUGAUUUGAACACAUCUCACAUCAUCACAAAUUUUAAAAAUAAGGAGGCACCAUUCUAUCCAUCCGUGCCAAAAGAAUAGGAAAACUAUACCUCAAUUUUAAACCAUAUAUAAACUUUCAUAUAAACUAAGUUAAGAAAGAGAUUCUUUCUCUAUAAAAUUUCUUUACACUGGAUAAAAAUUUCCACAUAUUAAAAUGGAGUGAAGUUAAGGAUACGUGUUG